AUCCUGGCUCAGGAUGAACGCUAGCGGCAGGCUUAACACAUGCAAGUCGAGGGGUAGAGUUCUUCGGUACUUGAGACCGGCGCACGGGUGCGUUACGCGUAUGCAAUCUACCUUUUACAGAGGGAUAGCCCAGAGAAAUUUGGAUUAAUACCUCAUAGCAUUAUGGAAUGGCAUCAUUCUAUCAUUAAAGUCACAACGGUAAAAGAUGAGCAUGCGUCCCAUUAGUUUGUUGGUAAGGUAACGGCUUACCAAGACUACGAUGGGUAGGGGUCCUGAGAGGGAGAUCCCCCACACUGGUACUGAGACACGGACCAGACUCCUACGGGAGGCAGCAGUGAGGAAUAUUGGUCAAUGGGCGCAAGCCUGAACCAGCCAUGCCGCGUGCAGGAUGACGGUCCUAUGGAUUGUAAACUGCUUUUAUACAGGAAGAAACAACGCUACGUGUAGCGUCUUGACGGUAUCUGUAGGAAUAAGGAUCGGC
rnacentral:rRNA from 1 species